CGACGUAAAGAAACUUAGCCUCACAGCUAGGGACAACAUUUAGAAAUGAAUGCUAAUACCUGAUAUUAUGAUUUUAAGGCAUCUUAGAAUUAUGAAAGCUAUAAGCACUGUGAGAGAGCUUUGCGUCCCAUUAGCUAGUUGGAGAGGUAACAGCUCACCAAGGCGAUGAUGGGUAGCCGGCCUGAGAGGGUGAACGGCCACAAGGGGACUGAGACACGGCCCUU
rnacentral:rRNA from 1 species